rnacentral:RNase_P_RNA from 1 species
GCGGAUGGCCGGAUGACCGCGGGAUUCCCCGAGGAAAGUCCGGACUCCAUGAAGCAAGGGUGCCGGGUAACGCCCGGCCGGGGCAACCCGAGGGAAAGCGCCACAGAGAACGAGACAGCCCCGCAUGCGGGGCCAAGGUGAAACGGUGGGGUAAAAGCCCACCGCGGGACGGGCAACCGGACCGGCAUGGCAAGCCCCACCCGGAGCAAUGCCGAAUAGGGGCCUCGCGCGGGGCCGUGUCCGGGCAACCGGAGACCGCCGCAGGGACGCUUCAGCCCGAGAGGCCCGGGUUGGCAGCUUGACCCCGUCCGCAAGGCCGGGGCGAGAGGAAUGGUCAUCCAGGGGCCCGCCGCAAGGUGGACCCCGGACAGAAUCCGGCUUACAGGCCAUCCGCGCAC